rnacentral:rRNA from 1 species
UACGUAGGGGGCCAGCGUUAUCCGGAUUUACUGGGUGUAAAGGGAGCGUAGACGGCCAGACAAGUCUGAAGUGAAAAUCCAGCGCUUAACGUUGGAAGUGCUUUGGAAACUGCCGGGCUAGAGUGCAGGAGGGGCAGGCGGAAUUCCUAGUGUAGCGGUGAAAUGCGUAGAUAUUAGGAAGAACACCAGUGGCGAAGGCGGCCUGCUGGACUGCAACUGACGUUGAGGCUCGAAGGCGUGGGGAGCAAACAGG